rnacentral:tRNA from 1 species
UCCGGAGUAGCUCAGCGGUAGAGCAGUGGACUGUUAAUCCAUUGGUCGUGAGUUCGAAUCUCGCCUCCGGAG